AACGAACGCUGGCGGCAGGCUUAACACAUGCAAGUCGAGCGCAUCCUUCGGGGUGAGCGGCGGACGGGUGAGUAACGCGUGGGAACGUGCCCUCUUCUACGGAAUAGCCUCGGGAAACUGAGAGUAAUGCCGUAUACGCCCGCAAGGGGAAAGAUUUAUCGGAGGAGGAUCGGCCCGCGUUGGAUUAGGUAGUUGGUGGGGUAACGGCCUACCAAGCCGACGAUCCAUAGCUGGUUUGAGAGGAUGAUCAGCCACACUGGGACUGAGACACGGCCCAGACUCCUACGGGAGGCAGCAGUGGAGAAUCUUGGACAAUGGGGGCAGCCCUGAUCCAGCCAUGCCGCGUGAUCGAUGAAGGCCUUAGGGUUGUAAAGAUCUUUCAGCUGGGAAGAUAAUGACGGUACCAGCAGAAGAAGCCCCGGCUAACUCCGUG
rnacentral:rRNA from 1 species